rnacentral:lncRNA from 1 species
CACUGGAAAUUGACCUCUACAUCUUUCAUAGUCGCUCAUAUAUAUCAUGAGGCCAACCACAGCAGAUUAUUUGGCUGAGUUAGCAUACUUUGGGGAUUUUACUUGGCAUACUAUGUCAGCAGUUGAUAGUCCAUGUUAUCAACUUCUGCAAGCUGAUGGAUAUGGGAUACAUAUCUUCGGUCCUAACAACUUCCAUUAUACUUGGAUGGCAAAAUAUUCAGCUUACAUUUUGUUAUCAAAGG